GACGAACGCUGGCGGCGUGCUUAACACAUGCAAGUCGAACGGAAAGACCCUGCUUUUGUGGGGUGCUCGAGUGGCGAACGGGUGAGUAACACGUGAGUAACCUGCCCUUGACUUUGGGAUAACUUCAGGAAACUGGGGCUAAUACCGGAUAGGAGCUCCUGCUGCAUGGUGGGGGUUGGAAAGUUUCGGCGGUUGGGGAUGGACUCGCGGCUCAUCAGCUUGUUGGUGGGGUAGUGGCUUACCAAGGCUUUGACGGGUAGCCGGCCUGAGAGGGUGACCGGCCACAUUGGGACUGAAAUACGGCCCAGACUCCUACGGGAGGCAGCAGUGGGGAAUAUUGCACAAUGGGCGGAAGCCUGAUGCAGCAACGCCGCGUGCGGGAUGACGGCCUUCGGGUUGUAAACCGCUUUCGCCUGUGACGAAGCGUGAGUGACGGUAAUGGGUAAAGAAGCACCGGCUAACUACGUG
rnacentral:rRNA from 1 species